AGUUCUGCGCAGAGGCGAUAUCGUAACCGAUAGGGUUUAUCCGAAGUGCGAUGAUUACUAGUUGAAAACUUUAACCAAUACCUAUCCCGCCACGUGCACGUGAAAUACCGAAUACCGUGUGCUAAGGCAAUUUUUAGAAACCCCUAAGGGGG